CACUGACUCACAGCACGCUCCCUCCCCCCCCACCCCCAAGAGCAGACUUGACCGUGAGCAAUAGUGCCCCCUCUACACACAGCAAGACUGAACCCCAGAGACAUGCGGUCUCUCAAGAAUCGCAGUUAGAAAGUGACCUUGCCAGGAUUUGAACCCAGGUCGGUACAGACCUGCCCAGAGGCCUGGAGCAAGGGAAGAACCAGAUGCUAACUGGUCCCAAGCAAGACUGGGAAGUUAGCUCCAGUCAAGCCAGCUAUCUUGAUCGCUAAUCUGUAAAGAUGCUAAAGCCCUCGCUGCUUGUGCAAAGGGAUGAGGGGCUGCAAUUUUGUUCCUGCGUUCUCUCCGUGGCUCAGUUCAAGCUCGGUGGGGGUGAAACUCUGAAAUCAGCACCCCAUGUACACGCACGUCCACACAUGCACGCACAUGCACUUGCAUUUACACACAUACUUCAUGUGGAUGCAGUUCCCGAGACUUCUAGAAUUCUAUUUUCUGCAGAGUGUGACGGCACAUACACGGAUUCUCGAGGCUGGGGCUGGAGGACCAUGAGCUCGAAUCAACUCUAGGCUACAGAACAUCCCCCCGCCCCAAAGACAGGAAAUAUGAUCUACCCGUCCGGAGAGUGCUUACCUAGAUGCAUGCCGUCUUGGCUUUCAUCUCCAGUGCUAGAUAAAUCAGGCAUGGUGGCACAGAGCUGUAGUAGCAGCAUUCCAAAGACAGAGGCAAAGGGACCAGAAGUUCAUGGUCAUAGCCUGCCCAGGCUAAGACAUGGUCACAAAAAACAAAACAAAAACAAACAAAACAAAACACAAAAAAAAAACCCAAAACUAAUUUGUCCUGUGCAAGCAAACAUGAGGAUCUGAGAUGGAUCCCCAGAACCUAUGUUUAACAUAUAUGUAUACAUACAUACAUACAUACAUACAUACAUACAUACACACAUAUAUACUGAUGUUGGGCAGGGAAGCAAGAUGGCAGGUAAGGGUACUUCCCACCAAGCCUGAUGGUCUUUCAAUAUCCCGUGCCCACAAGAUGGAGAGAACCAUCUCCCAAACAUUGUUUUCUGACCUCUACAUGGACACAAUGACAUACAUGUAUUUAAAUGCACACACGUGAGCACGAGCGCGCGCGCGCACACACACACACACACACACACACAAGCCUGGUGUGGUGGCACUUGUUCCUAUGCUGGGGAGGUGGAGACUGGGAUGCUGGUACUCAGUGACCAACCAGCCUUGCCUACUUGCUAAGUUCUCUCUAGGUCAAUAAGAGACUUUGUCCCCAAAAUCAAGGUGAAUGGCAUCUGAGAAAUGACACGCUUGUCUUCUGGCCUGCGCAUGUGCCCGUGCAACCCCAAGUGCACGCGCCCAAUUUGUUUUUUCAUCUCCGAGAUCUGGCUCCUCUCCCUGGCAAGACUUCCACAUCCCACCAGAGGUCGCUCUACCUUGGGACCCUACCUCUCUCAGAUGGCAUAGCCUCUCCAAUUGCCCCUCCAGGAAGGGGGUGAGUUGGCCCCUAGAAAACUGUACCCACGCCACCAACUGGCCCGCUGCCUCAGGCCUUUGGUCUCCAGCCUCUCUCUUCCCAUUUACCCUAAGUCUUUCUGACACCUAGCUCUGCAGAGCCUACGUUUCCGUCUUUGGCUGCCAUUCAGGGUCUGCCAGCAGCCUGUCAGCCGCCUUCCCACUGGAUGUCUACCCAGUGUCUCAGUGAAUUAUCUUUCCACAAGCUAAGAAACUGCCUACAGCUGCUAGUAAGACAGCUCUCAGACCCGAGGCACAGGGCUUCCGAGGCGCAGCCCCAGGGACCUCUAGGAGCAAAUUCGUUGCCAGUAUUUUGACUGCCAUGUUGAAGUGACACCGGAAGACCUGUGAGCUGCUGUAGGCCAAGUGGACACCCACGUUCCAAGCGGACCACUCUGAAGAGAAAAUGUAGCAUCUACUCCAUGACUGCUCUCAGGCACAGGUGCAGUUAGGGCACAAAUGCAGGUUUGUAUCAGACUGAGAAGCCCUGGAGAAAGGUCCCCAUGUAUCCCCAGCAGGAACCCUGCAGCCUGCACACACGGUGCCCGGUGGAAUAAGGAUUAGCCAUGCCUUUCAGAAGAGUGCUACAUCCCAACCCACUAUGCCCUGACCAGGACCUUGGAGCAGAACACUGGGACCAUGCUCCACCUCCCCAGGACACAGCCAGACCACCAAUAGACCGGACCUUUAUCCCUGGAGUUCCCAGUGUUUGAUUUCUGUAGCCUAGGAGUUGUAUGGCUUUAAGAGAGACUUUAUCUCUCACAGCCUACUUUCCUUGGCUAUAAAGGAGAAACACAGCUCCUUCUCAGAACUGGGAGCUGUACCAGCACCCAGCACUUGGCACUCAGCCUCCAGCACCCAGCAUCCAACACCCAGCCUCCAGCACUCAGCAUCCAACAUCCAGCCUUUAGCACCCAGCCUCCAGCAUUCAGCAUCCAACACCCAGCCUCCAGCACCCAGCCUCCAGCACCCAGCACCCAGUAUCCAACACCCAGCCUCCAGCACUCAGCAUCCAAAACCUAGCAUCCAGCACCCAGCACUCAGCAUUCAAUACCCAGUACUCAGCAUCCAACACCCAGCAUCCAGCACUCAGCACCCAGCACUCAUCCAAUACCCAGCAUCCAGCACCCACCCACACCAGCUCACUUUCCAGGAUCAUGAGUAAAGCUGAGCAGUGUCAGAAAGAAAGCAAAACUUGCUGUUAGGAAGCCCCCCUUUAUCCCUCACACCCUACCCAGAGGCCAUGGUGCUCUCCCCUCACCGGUGCACGUUUAAUCUUCUGUUGAUUAUACUCGCUUAUGUUCACAACCAGCAACUCAGCUCAUCUCUGUCUAAGCAGCAUUUGGAUUUUCCCUUCCUGGGCCUUCAGAGCCUCACCCAGUUUCUCAUACCUUCCACCCCGAAGGUCACGCAGAGUGCCAGAGAGCCAGGGCAGAACCGGAGUCAGCCAGUCAUCUGCCCAAUCAACACCAGACUCUGCAGAGCUUGUCCCAAGACAUUUCCAGUCACAGAGAAGAGCCACGGCCCCCCUGUGGGCCAUCUCAUUCCCUGUAGCUGGCACUCCUUUUCUGGGUUCUUCGAGGAAGGUGAGAGAAGGGAGGGUAUAGCCGGAGGGCCCUACAUUUACCCACAGGAGAAACAUAGACAUGGCUUAGUGAGGAGGGUAGAAGAUCAUAAUUCUGGGUCGAACAGAGGAUGACAGAUGGGUACUGGUGAAGACUGAGGGAGGGAGCUCCUGGCUGAGAGCAAAGGCCAAAGGAGGGCCCCAAAGCCUCUCCAACAUGGCAGGGAAAUGUGGGUCCUAACUACAGUUGCUGUUGGAAAGGCUGUACCACGUCAGCUUACAAUCACUGUAUCCGGGCAGGCCCCAUCUCUCCCACCGUUUACAUAAAGAACAGGGCGGCUGGAA